rnacentral:rRNA from 1 species
AGUGAACGCUGGCGGUAGGCCUAACACAUGCGAGUUGAACGGCAGCACAGUAAGAGCUUGCUCUUACGGGUGGCGAGUGGCGGACGGGUGAGGAAUACAUCGGAAUCUACUUUUUCGUGGGGGAUAACGUAGGGAAACUUACGCUAAUACCGCAUACGACCUACGGGUGAAAGCAGGGGAUCUUCGGACCUUGCGCGAUUGAAUGAGCCGAUGUCGGAUUAGCUAGUUGGCGGGGUAAAGGCCCACCAAGGCGACGAUCCGUAGCUGGUCUGAGAGGAUGAUCAGCCACACUGGAACUGAGACACGGUCCAGACUCCUACGGGAGGCAGCAGUGGGGAAUAUUGGACAAUGGGCGCAAGCCUGAUCCAGCCAUACCGCGUGGGUGAAGAAGGCCUUCGGGUUGUAAAGCCCUUUUGUUGGGAAAGAAAAGCAGCAGGUUAAUACCCCGCUGUUCUGACGGUACCCAAAGAAUAAGCACCGGCUAACUCCGUG